rnacentral:rRNA from 1 species
AAUCCCGUGAACCAUCGAGUCUUUGAACGCAAGUUGCGCCCCAAGCCUUCUGGCCGAGGGCACGUCUGCCUGGGUGUCACAAAUCGUCGUCCCCAACCUUUGCGGAUAAGGGACGGAAGUUGGUCUCCCGUGUGUUACCGCACGCGGUUGGCCUAAAUCUGAG